UACGUAGGGUGCAAGCGUUAAUCGGAAUUACUGGACGUAAAGCGUGCGCAGGCGGCUUUGCAAGACAGAUGUGAAAUCCCCGGGCUUAACCUGGGAACUGCAUUUGUGACUGCAUGGCUGGAGUGCGGGCAGAGGGGGAUGGAAUUCCGGCGUGUAGCAGUGAAAUGCGUAGAUAUGCGGAGGAACACCGAUGGCGAAGGCAAUCCCCUGGGCCUGCACUGACGCUCAUGCACGAAAGCGUGGGGAGC
rnacentral:rRNA from 1 species